GUUGUUGCCUGUGAAUGGUAAAGUUGUUGCAAAAAUGGUAAAUGUGUUGCUUUUUUUACCGAUUUGGUAAAGUUGUUGCCCAAAGCAACAACUUUCCAUAUGAAAAUUGGUAAAUGUGUUGUCAUCACCAUUGACAAUACACACGAGCCUGCUCCUGCGUGUAUUAUCGCAUAGACUUUAAAAGAGACUACCAAGGCGCUUGAUGGAUGCGCAUGCUGCAUGCAUGAAGUCCUACAUAUAUACAUGUAUGUACAGUUUGACAGAAUGAUGGUGUUAUGGAUGAAUGAGAUGAGAAUUACGAAUGGAGGUGCUCCCAGUGAUUCCAGAGCUGUUCUUCCAAGAGAGUGUCAACUAGCACUGAGCCUGGAUGUAAGGAUGUUCCUUCUGGAUCAAGAAGCGAUUUGAUUGUGGAGCCUGGAUGUAAGGAUGUUCCUUCUGGAUCAAGAAGCGAUUUGAUUGUGGAGCCUGGAUGUAAGGAUGUUCCUUCUGGAUCAAGAAGCGAUUUGAUUGUGGAGCCUGGAUGUAAGGAUGUUCCUUCUGGAUCAAGAAGCGAUUUGAUUGUGCUUACUGUUGUACAAAGUUGGCAACCGAGUAUUGGGGAAGCAGUUGUGCACACAACGUGUCAGCGUAGACUCCUCUAACCAGAUGGAGAGCAGACAAUGAUCAAGCUCAUUUUACAGGCUGCCCUUUCAAAUGCGUCCAAGAUGAAUAAAAGGCCAUUUCGAGCAUUGACCAAUGCUGUGUAUGACCCGAUGUCUAGGAAAGGACCCCUAGGAUGCUCAGCGAAGGCUUUCUACAAACAAUUAAUCAUGUAACACUAAGGAAUCUGUCGCUUGUCAACAAAAUAAAAUGGCAUUGUAUUUUCAUCUGUUCGCCUGUUCAAUGCAGGGACCUAUU
rnacentral:lncRNA from 1 species